GGGCCGAUAGCUCAGCCUGGAAGUAGCGCCUGGCUUGCAAUCAGGAGGUCGUGGGUCCAAAUCCCACUCGGUCCA
rnacentral:tRNA from 1 species